GAUGGAAUACAGUGUGGUUUUGUUCAACAAGUAGGCUUACGCACACGUGUUUCAACAAGUGCAUUGAGAACAAGUACAAGGAAUCUGAGUUAAACAUGGGUGAAAACAGUUGCAUUGACCGUUGUGUGUCAAAAUAUUGGCAGGU